UGUUGUGCCCCGGGUUGCAAAAACAAAUAACAUUAGAGUUUGUAAUGCACAUUUUGUUCUAGGGAAACCUUUUUAGUACACUGGAGAAACACACCCAGACUGGGCCCCAUCCCUGAAUCUUGACAAAGUGUAUGUUAACGCUAAGUCAGCCAUGGAUAGAGAGUCAAGAAGAGUAAUUUUAAAUGUUCAAGAGGUAAUACAAAUUAUGAAGUAUAAUUUAUUCAUACGUUAUGACAACAAAAAGUUAUAUGUUAUAGUAAUGUUACAAAUAAACAAAUGAAGAGUAA